rnacentral:rRNA from 1 species
GACGUAGGGCGCGAGCGUUGUCCGGAUUUAUUGGGCGUAAAGAGCUCGUAGGCGGCUUGUCGCGUCGUCCGUGAAAACUUGGGGCUCAACCCCAAGCUUGCGGUCGAUACGGGCAGGCUCGAGUUCGGUAGGGGAGACUGGAAUUCCUGGUGUAGCGGUGAAAUGCGCAGAUAUCAGGAGGAACACCGGUGGCGAAGGCGGGUCUCUGGGCCGAAAUUGACGCUGAGGAGCGAAAGCGUGGGGAGCAAACAGG